UGUUGUAUUGUUGUAGUGGUUUGAGUGCUGGACUCUGACUCUGGAUGCCUGGGUUCAAAUCCCCAUUCAGCCA